rnacentral:rRNA from 1 species
GACGAACGCUGGCGGCGUGCCUAACACAUGCAAGUCGAGCGAGUGGAUCUCCUUCGGGAGUGAAGCUAGCGGCGGACGGGUGAGUAACACGUGGGCAACCUGCCUCAUAGAGGGGAAUAGCCUUUCGAAAGGAAGAUUAAUACCGCAUAAGAUUGUAGCUUCGCAUGAAGUAGCAAUUAAAGGAGCAAUCCGCUAUGAGAUGGGCCCGCGGCGCAUUAGCUAGUUGGUGAGGUAACGGCGCACCAAGGCGACGAUGCGUAGCCGACCUGAGAGGGUGAUCGGCCACAUUGGGACUGAGACACGGCCCAGACUCCUACGGGAGGCAGCAGUGGGGAAUAUUGCACAAUGGGGGAAACCCUGAUGCAGCAACGCCGCGUGAGUGAUGACGGCCUUCGGGUUGUAAAGCUCUGUCUUCAGGGACGAUAAUGACGGUACCUGAGGAGGAAGCCACGGCUAACUACGUGCCAGCCGCCGCGGUAAUAC